AACGAACGCUGGCGGCAGGCCUAACACAUGCAAGUCGAACGCCCUAGCAAUAGGGAGUGGCAGACGGGUGAGUAACACGUGGGAACGUGCCUUUCGGUUCGGAAUAACCCAGGGAAACUUGGACUAAUACCGGAUACGUGCGAGAGCAGAAAGAUUUAUCGCCGAAAGAUCGGCCCGCGUCCGAUUAGUUAGUUGGUGAGGUAAUGGCUCACCAAGGCGACGAUCGGUAGCUGGUCUGAGAGGAUGAUCAGCCACACUGGGACUGAGACACGGCCCAGACUCCUACGGGAGGCAGCAGUGGGGAAUAUUGGACAAUGGGCGCAAGCCUGAUCCAGCCAUGCCGCGUGAGUGAUGAAGGCCCUAGGGUUGUAAAGCUCUUUCGCCAGGGACGAUAAUGACGGUACCUGGAUAAGAAGCCCCGGCUAACUUCGUGCCAGCCGCCGCUGUAAC
rnacentral:rRNA from 1 species